rnacentral:lncRNA from 1 species
AAUUGGUUACAGCUGUUUCACGCAUAUAUAUCUGUAUACGUAUGUGUGUAUAUGUGUGAUUAUGUGUGUAUAUACGUAUGUGAGUAUAUGUGUGAUUAUGAGUGUAUAUGUAUUUCUUUACUAUCCACAAUGGGCUAAACAUAGAGGGCGACAAACAAGGACAGACAAACGGAUUAAGUCGAUUACAUUGACCCCAGUGCGCAACUGGUACUUAAUUUAUCGACUCCGGAAAGAUGAAAAGCAAAGUCGACCUCGGCGGAAUUUGAACUCAGAACGUAACGGCAGAGGAAAUAAUGCCCGUCGUUCUAACGUUUCUGCCAGCGCGCCGCUGUGUGAGUAUGUGUGUAUAUAUGUAUGCGCAUGUAUAUGAGUAUAUUUGAGUGUAUGUGUGCGUGUGUGUGUAUCUGUGUGUACAUGUGUAUGUGCGUAUGGGUGAUUGUGUAUGUGAGUAUUUGUAUGUGUGUGUGUGUGUGUGUAUGUAUGAUAGUCUUUGUAUUGAAAUUCUUAUCACUUCUCGCGAACUUUUGCAAAUGUUUUAAUCUUACAGAUUUAACAUAUUGUGUAGGAGUCAAAACGGAAAAAUACCGAAGCAAAUAUUGGUCAGUGUUUUCGAAUGCAUUCUACUUCAUGGUAUUAGACGAAAAAUUCGUCAUAUCGACCGUCGAAGUGUUGUUUCUUCAUUUCUUCCUUUCACUGAGUGUAUUAACCUGCUUAAUCAUAAAUAUAUAUAAACAUUCCACCCACGUUCAGGAAACGAACUUUACCAGUGUGAGAUUUUUCUCUAGCAUAAAGAGAAUGAAUUAGUCGCACUAACAUAUUCGUAUUGACCUGGUACCGACUGAAAUACAAAUAUAGUAUCAUAUUUGUCAUAGAAUAUUAAUAUUGAGCUUUCUCGUAUAUGAUUUUUAAUUUUAAUUUAAUGGCAUAAGAUUUGUGUAACAUAUUAGUUUACGUUUUGAUAAUUACUAUUUUCCUCCAUAUUAUAGUCAUAAUGAUGACGACCUGAUCAGAACCCAUAUUCGAGAGUGGACAGAUCUCAAUUAGGGCAACUCCCAGAAAGCAGCCGAAACCUGAGGGAGGUGGGGAAAUCGGGUCGCCGCGUCAUCAACUAAUGUUCCAACAACCACAGGAUAAAAGGGAAGGAAGGAAUUAUUUAUUGCAAGUCAAUCGAAUGUGAUUGUAUUUUCUUCUUUAGUUUCAAUGAUAGACUUACACAGAGACGGCCAAAUAAAGUUCCGUUUUUGUGGGAAAUGUAAAUUUUACUGAAAACUCUUGAACCGUACAGUUGUCGAGUGGUAUCCAAGAGAUAGAAAAAUUCCACUUGAAAGGCCUCCUACGACGAUAGCAAGAUGAUGUAGUGUAGCAAUUUUGGCUAAGAUAGAAAAGAAUAAUGCAAUCAAGACGAAAUUGGAAGUGCAUUGUAAACAGCGGUAUAUAACAGCAUCUGAUGGUCUUGUUGUAACUGUGAUACUGUGAAAUCGGAUAUAAUAUUCACGACUAAUCGUCAGGAAGGGAAUAUUUUCAUAGGAAAUAAUAAUGGCAGGAACGGAAAAGCUCGGUGAGACACCAGUUCUAUUUUCCUGUGAGGGAAAUCUUUAGCCUACACUUUUCAAUUAUUUAAAUAUCACGAGUUUAAAUUUUUUUCUAAAGAUACGUUAAUUGUCUCACUAAAACAAUUAUCUGUUAUAUAAAAUCCGUUCUGUCUGUGUGUGUGUUUUCUAGGAUCUCGGACAUCUUCCAUCCGAUGCGCUCAAAUUUGAUAUGUAGAUACCGACGGAAUCAGGGUGUGUAUAAGUCUUGAAAAAAUUACAAAGAUCGAUUGCAGGUGAGAAUGCGAGCGAUAAAGCCGUGAGAACGUGCAUUUGUACGCGCAAGUACAUCAGCUAUUGCGCUCGAUACUACUCGUACGCGAGAAAAAUGCACGUACAGUUUGCGCCAAAAAAGCCGGGUGGCUUGAAAUAAUGCCACGAAAUAAAAUAUAUUUAAGAGACAAAAAACGUAAGAUGCAAAAGAGAUACUUUUCUUCAAACUUGGCACGAAGGAAGGAAAGACGAUUUGGUUUCUCAAGAAGUUUUUUUGCCUUCACUUUGUUUAACAAAACCAAAAAAAUUUAUUGAAAUAAAGGCAUGCUUAAUUAUUUUUUAAUGAAAAGAAAACACUAAUUGCUUUUUAUUCAGCAGAUAUGAUUCAGCACCGUCCAUUGGACGGGGAGCGUUUUGCUCACUAUAAAUCUUAUCUAUUUUGUGUAGAAACCGAUUUCUGGACAAGUAAUUCUUAGGGCACAGGCAAAAUAUAGCAUCUUUAUUAUAUAUUCCUUCGCAAUGGAAUAAAUAUAAGCUGCCAUAGCUUGGACACCGAGUACAAUAUCAAAACCAUUCGACAAAAUAUUUUAAAUUCAGUAAUCACAAAACUUUUCUAAUUAAUUAUCAAAAUGCAGUCACUAAAAUACUUUUCGUCUUAAUUACCAAAACUAGUAAUUAGUGUAAUUUCCAAAAUACUUAUCAAAAUCCAGUAAUUAAAGAACUUUUAAGAUUAAUUAACAAAAUCCAGUAAUUAGAGAACUGAUCGUAUUAAUUAUCAAAAUGUGUCUACCAAAAUCGGAAAUCAUCAAAGUGACUAUAUCUGGUUUAAUAAGUAUAAGACAAAAAACAAAUACCAGCAUAUGUUCCGCAUAAGAAUGGCUUUAGAAUUUGAAAUAUAAUGGUCUCGCAAUUUUUGAUCCACAAAUUAAAGCGCUGGCAUCACAAUUUUUUCAUCUACAAAAGGAACCGCUUAAUGAAUAAGACUAUAUUUAAACCAGAUAUUGGAAUAUAAACCUGUUUUUCUUUUUUUGGAUAAUUUUGCUUUCGUAAUUAUGGGCAAUGAUUUCACGAAAUUUUCAUUCUUUCUUUCAUUGUCUAUCGUUCUUUCAUUCCUUCUUUCUUUCUUCCAUCCCUUCUACCUUUCUGUCUUUAUUUCUUUUCUUUCUUUCUUUCUUCCAUUCAUUCUGUCUUUCCUUCUUUCCUACUUUUUUUCUUCCUUUCUUUCUUUCCUUCUUUCUUUCUUUCUUUCUUCCAUUCGUUCUGCCUGUCUGUCUUUAUUUCUUUUCUUUCAUUCCUUCAUUCAUAUUCCUUUCUUUUCUAUCUUUCAUUCAUUUUCUUUCUUUCUUUCUUUCUUUCUUCCGUUCAUUCUGUCUUUCCUUCUUUCCUACUUUUUUUCUUCCUUUCAUUCAUUCUUUAUUUAUUUAUUCCAUUCGUUCUGCCUUUCUGUCUUUAUUUCUUUUCUUUCAUUCCUUCAUUCAUAUUCCUUUCUUUUCUACGUUUCAUUCAUUUUUUUUCUUUCUUUCUUCCAUUCAUUUUGUCUUUCCUUCUUCCCUACUUUCUUUCUUUCUUCCAUUCAUUCUGUCUUUCCUUCUUUCCUGCUUUUUUCUUCCUUUCUUUCAUUCAUUCUUUAUUCAUUUAUUUCUUCCACCCCUUCUGCCUUUCUGUCUUUAUUUCUUUUCUUUCAUUCCUUCAUUCCUAUUCCUUUCUUUUCUAUCUUUCAUUCAUUUUCUUUCUUUCUUUCUUUCUUUCUUUCUUCCAUUCAUUCUGUCUUUCCUUCUUUCCUACUUUCUUUCUUCCUUUCUUUCAUUCAUUCUUUAUUUAUUUAUUUCUUCCAUUCGUUCUGCCUUUCUCUCUUUAUUUCUUUUCUUUCUUUCCUGCAUUCAUAUUCCAUUCCUUUCUAGCUUUCAUUCAUUUUCUUUCUUUCUUUCUUUCUUUCUAUCUUUCUUUCUUUCUUUCUUCCAUUCAUUCUGUCUUUCCUUCUUCCCUACUUUCUUCCUUUCUUUCAUUCAUUCUUUAUUUAUUUAUUUCUUCCAUUCGUUCUGCAUUUCUGUCUUUAUUUCUUUUCUUUCAUUCCUUCAUUCCUAUUCCUUUCUUUUCUAUCUUUCAUUCAUUUUCUUUCUUUCUUUCUUUCUUUCUUUCUUUCUUUCUUUCUUUCUUUCUUUCUUUCUUUCUUUCUUUCUUUCUUUCUUUCUUUCUUUCUUUCUUUCUUUAUUUCUUUCUUUCUUUCUUUCUUCCUUUCUUUCAUUCAUUCUUUAUUUAUUUAUUUCUUCCAUUCGUUCUGCAUUUCUGUCUUUAUUUCUUUUCUUUCAUUCCUUCAUUCAUAUUUCUUUCUUUUCUAUCUUUCAUUUUCUUUGUUUCUUUCUUUCUUCCAUUCAUUCUGUCUUUCCUUCUUUCGUACUUUCUUUCUUUCUUUCAUUCAUUCUUUAUUUAUUUAUUUCUUCCAUUCGUUCUGCCUUUCUCUCUUUAUUUCUUGUCUUCCAUUCCUUCAUUCAUAUUCCUUUCCUUUCCUUCAUUCAUUUUCUUUCUUUCUUUGCUUUCUUUCUUUCUUCCAUCCCUUCUUUCUUUCAUUCAUUCUUUCUUUUUUUCAUUCUUUCUUUUCUACUUCUGAAGAGAUCAUCUGUUUCAGAUCCGGAAAGACCUCCUCUUCCCUGACGUUAAUUCUCUUGAUACGCUGAAUAUCAUAACGACCCCCCACUGCACGUAUCCCUCAGGAUUUCAGGGGUCAAACAAAAGAAUAUGUUUUUUGUGUAUUAUUGUGCGUUUCCACGUUUCUUUCUUUGCGUGUGUGUGUGUAUGUAUUUCUUUGUGUGUUUUUUGUGUUUCUGUUCUUUUGUGUUGCGUGUGUUGAGGAGAAUUCCACAACGGUUCUCCAUCUCUUCUUACCAUCAUCUUAUCUGUUUCUCAUGUAAUUGCUUUUGAUGUAUUAUGCCUGGCCUUUCUCUUCCUAGAUCAUUUAAAUAUUUGAUUUAUCUGACAUACAAUUCCGACAUAUGACACCGCUAUCAAUACCGAAGAUAUAUCUUCUGGUGUCACUAAAGUUAUAAUAGUAUACCACAAUGACACGUCUUAAUUUUUCUUAUUUCUUUGAACACGUCUUAAAUUAUAGUAAUAUAGAUACGUUUAUGCAAUUUUCUUAUAUGCGCAUGUAAGAUUAUAUCUAACCCACAUCUGCAUUAAAUGUAUACUAAGCUUAUUGAUGUUGAUGCUGAAGUUGAUGCCAUGUCCGUGUUAAGUCUAAAUAACGAUCAGAAUAUUCAACGUUAUGUUACACUUUAGUGUGUGAUAUAUGGACAUUACAUUCUAUGCAAUUUAUUUAACGGUGAUUCUGUUAUAAACUUAUAUAUGUUUGCUUUGGGAAAGUAAUUCUUUGUUUCAGAGGUCGGUUGUACAACUUCAGAAUUUAAAUUAUUAUUAAGCAAAUAAUAAAUACAUUCAUCACUAUGAUAGACACUGACUGGAGAAAUAUACUUCCAGCAUAUUGUUUCAAUACAAAUAUUCUUCUGUAUAUUUUAUUGGCUAUUAAGCGUUACUUAACUGUUACUUAUGUUUGGGCAAACAUUUCGUUUUUCCCCAAAAGCAGUAAGGAUUUGGUCCUCAUUCACGUUUAUAUCUGUCGGCGGAUUAAGUGGAUCUGGAUAUUUACUUUGUCCCAAGAGCUGAAUAUGUGAUGCGUUGCUGUCUGCAUCUUCAUGUAAAGAGAAGAUACUUUCAUGGAGAUAAAUAUAUACAGGCAAGAGAAUUGCUCCAGAACGUGUCUGGAAACUCUACAGUAAGUGAUAGCCGAAGCAGAAAACAAACAGCAUUCACUUGCUGAAUGAUAUGGAACUGUUUCAAGGUGGACGAUUAAGGCACUGGGGGUGAUAUAAAUAUGCUGCUCUGCGCCCUAUGUGCGAGUAUUCUUAUUUCUUUAUUGCCCUCAAGGGGCUAAACAUAGAGGGGACAAACAAGGACAGACAAACGGAUUAAAUCGAUUAUAUCAACUCCAGUGCAUAACUGGUACUCAAGUUAUCGACCCCGAAAGGAUGAAAGGCAAAGUCGACCUCGGCGGAAUUUGAACUCAGAACGUAACGGCAGUUGAAAUGCCUAUUUCUUUAUUACCCACAGGGGGCUAAACACAGAGGGUACAAACAAGGACAGACAAACGGAUUAAGUCGAUUACAUAAGUACUUAUUUAAUCGACUCCGAAGGAAUGAAAGGCAAAGUCGACCUCGGCGGAAUUUGAACUCAGAACGUAGUGGCAGACGAAAUACUGCUAAGCAUUUCGCCCGGCGUGCUAACGUUUCUGCCAGCUCGCCGCCUUUGUGCGAGUAUGUGCGAGCAUUCUGCCAAUAGAAAAAGGUCAAUGUAGGAAGGCCUUCCCUACUAGUCUAGACGCCAAAGCGCCUCGAGAAAGGUGGCAGUGACGGGCAGUAACAAAAGCAGUUAUGGAAACAACUACAGCACCAACAGCUACGAAAGAAACUGUUGCCCUAGGAAAAGCGGUGACAAAUGUGUCAGCUACAAAUAUAGCAGCCUCCAACCUAUUAGUAGUCACAACAGUAACAGAAUCAUCAAUAACAGUAAUAGCAACAGGAUAUACCCCAAGGUAGCAACAGUAGUGGAACACAGCAUCUAACGAAUCCAAGUUCAUCUCUUACUCUCAUCAUUCACCGGGUAAAACAUGGAAACAAGCCCAGAAAUGUAUACACAAUUUGAUAUUGUCCACGUCGUACAGAUGAUAAUAAUGAGAGCACUUAAAAGUAUAUUGACAAGUAAAAAGCAUGUUCUAACCUGACGACGGACUUCUACAAAACAUCAACCAAGACAAGCCUCCCCUAUUUCCGAAGUAUCCCCAAUGUUCUUGAGAUAUCAACAACUAGACAAAAAUAAGUGAGCUCAUCUCUUUUUCUACACUUCCUCAAAUGAACAAUAAGAUAUAUAUACAUGCUUAGGCCUUCCUUGCUGAAGGUUAAUCUUUAUAUAUAAAAGUGAAGUUGUGUGUCUGUCUCCUACGAUUUAGAUUCCUAACUACUCCCACAUUUUGCGGUGCAGUUUAACCAAAACCGGGUAUCUUAUAGUCGUCAUUCAUAUCGAGCCCUUCUGAGUAUUAGCGCGCGUCUACGAUGAGUCUACGAUUAAAAAAAAAAAUUACCAUAAUUUUUUUCCAUUUUAAUGCAUUUUUUUGCUAUUAUAUAAGGAAUGUAACUCUCUAAAAAUGUCUACGAUGAGUCAACGAUUUAAAAAAAAAUUACCAUCAAUUUUUUUCCAUUUCUAAUGCAUUUUUUUGUUAUUUUUUGGCUAUAACUCUCUAAAAAUGCUUAUAUAGUUAUUUCCCUUACAAACCCGAGCAACGCCGGGCGAUACUGCUAGUGAAAUAUACGUGUGUGUUAGUAGUGACGCCGAUAUUUCUGACACAAUACGAUACUGAGCUGGCUGAAUGGUUAACACGCCGUGCAAAAUAUUUUUUGGCGUUUCUUCCGUCUUUACGUUCCAUAUUCAAAUUCCGUCAGAGUCGACUUCGUGUCUUAUCCUUCUUAUUUAUCGACUCUUAUUCUGGAGUCGAUGAAUUAAGUAACUGUUGAAUACUGCAGUCGAUCAAAACGACCCACAUCUCCCCCGAUAUUUUUGUUCUUGCGCCAAAGUUGGAAACCAAUGUUCCUUAGACAUUCAGCUAGGGAUUAUCUUUAAAGGCAACAAGGUAUAUUCAUACCAUUUCGAUAGUAGAAGAGGUUUUUGUUUUCAUUUGAAUCUCUUUUUUUCGAAACACCUCUCAUUCUUUUGUAACCCGUAUUAACUUCCUUGUCCGGAUGGAAAUCGGGGGCAAUUAAUUUGGACAGUACUGUAAGAGUAGAUUCGGAAUAACGGCUGUCUAUGCAGCUGGUAUUAGGACAGAGGAAUUCCCAAUUCUCUGAGCCGGAGAUUUGGUGAGUUUCCGAAUGACAACACAGAAGAAGUUGCUUCUGCUGCUUUUACAUUUUGUGUGUGUGUAUGUGUGUGCAUUUGAGCCUGAGUACGUGCUUGUUUGCAAGUGUGUAUAUGUGUAUGUGUAUAGUUGUUGUGUAACUGCACACAUGUGUAUAUCCUGGCAUGCGGGUGUAACUAUUAUGAUUAUUAGUUAUACUAAUUCUUCCUCUGUGAUAUACUAAGUCAUCGCUGAUGGUAAGAGAUAAUACCAUGGUUUGAUAUAAAACCUAAAAACAACUUUGUACGCCAAGAUAGAAUUUCUAGUAUCUUGCACAUAUCUGUCUCUUUUACUCAUUUACUGUUUUAACGGUUUCAGUCAUUUGAUUGUGGCCAUGAUGGAGCACCACCUUUAGUCGAGCAAAUCGACCCCAGAACUUAUUCUUUGCACGCCUAGUACUUAUUCUAUCGGUCUCUUUUGCCGAACCGCUAAGUUACGGGGACGCAAACACACCAGCAUCGGUUGUCAAGUGAUGUUGGAGGGACAGACACACAAACACACACACACACACACACACACACACACAUAUAUAUAUAUAUAUAUAUAUAUAUACGACGGGCUUCUUUCAGUUUCCGUCUACCAAAUCCACUCACAUAGGUUUGGUCGGCCCGAGGCUAUACUAGAAGACACAUGACCGAGUUGCUUUGCAGUAGGACUGAACCUAGAACCAUGUGGUUGGUAAUCAAGCUACUUACCUCACAGCCACUCCUAAAGAUUUUGAUUCGACUUAUUUCCGUUUGAAUUCAAUUCAAUCAUGAGCCCCAAAUUCUUUUCGUUUCUGUUUUACUCAGUAACACACAUGAAUCUCUUUGCAACAUUUCGCGCAAAUUCUUUGAUGAAUGCCAGCAUUUUCUUUUUUUAAUCAAAGAAACCAAACAUAGACAUAAUCAGAAGAUAAAGAACAGCUAAAUAUCAACACUUUAGUAUUCACCAUUAUCGGAAGAUAGGUUUCAUUCUAAACAAGGCACGAUGGGCUACAGUUGAAACAUUAAAAAAAUCUUUUAACAUUUGAGAUUAGUUUUAACAUUAACAUCAGAUUUAUGCGACGUGUCUCUAAUUCGUUAUUUGGUGUAGCGAAAGAACAUUGUAUUCUUGGAAUGUUUAGUAUGUAAAAUAUACGAAUCUGUGGUUAAUCUAAAUUAAGAUUUAUUGAUUUGAUUGUAUCGUGUAUGAUUAGCGAGAAUUGUUCGUCUAAUCUCCUGCUGGCCUUCUGUAAUAAAAUUUUGUUUAACAAUAUCUUUCUGAUUAAAUGAAACAUUGAGAAGAAAAAUCCACGUUAUUUUUACUUUCCUAUACUCUAUCUCUUACUAGUGGGAUCGUUUGACUACAGCCAUGCAGUACUUGGUACUUAACAUUACAAGUCUGAUGCUUAUUAUAAAGAUUUCUUGUGCCGAACUACUUAGGCGCAGGAGUGGCUGUGUGGUAAGGAGCUUGCUUACCAACCACAUGGUUCAAGGUUCAGUUCCACUGCGUCGGCACCUUGGGCAAGUGUCUUCUACUAUAGCCUCGGGCCGACCAAAGCCUUGUGAGUAGAUUUGGAAGACGGAAAUUGGGAGAAACCCGUCGUCGUAUGUAUAUAUAUCGUAUAUAUAUAUAUAUAUAUAUAUAUAUAUAUAUACUAGUGUGUGCGUGUCUGGUGUGUUUAUGUCCCCUUAACAUAGCGGUUCGGCAAAAGAUACCGAUAUAAUAAGUAGUAAACUUACAAAGAAUAAGUACUAGGGUCAGGUUCUUCGACUAACACCCUUUAACCCUUUAAGGUGGUGCUCCAGCAUGACCGGAUUCAAAUGACUGAAGCAAGUAAUAGAAAAAAGAAUAUAUAUAUAUUUCAUAUAUAACGAACGAGCUUCUUUCUCGUGAGGUGCACUAAAAUUAUCUCACAACGCUUUGGUUGUCCUGGGGCUAUGGUACCCAAAUUACCUCAGUCUACACCUCAAUCACAGACAAGUUCGUCAACCCCACAGCCAUGAGUGUGCCUAGAUUGAACCCAAAUUAAAUUAUUUACUGAAAUUUUAAUUUGCAACAUAGUAACGGUUUCACAUUCGUAUUACCAGGCUGUAUUUUACGAUUUUCAUUUAUAAGUUCCAAUUUAAGCAUUUAACAUAUCCCCACCUAACUACCAACAUUAGCUGAAUCAAUCUUCAAUGAUUUAUGGCUUGGUGAUUUUUUUUCAUUUAACCGUUUACAACGUAAUUCUUUAUUUAAUCUCGCCCAUCAAUCUUCUAAUUCAUUUGCGAUUAGGCUGUAUUGGGUGUUUUUC